rnacentral:lncRNA from 9 species
CUCAGGGAUUGCCUAGGUGCUCGAGGUUUUGCACCCACAGACAGCUCUGAGACCCGGGAAACGCCUCAGUUCCUUACAAACCUGGACACUUGGUUAUCCUACUCACCAACCUGGAGUGGUCUCGGGGAAAAUUCAGGUCAACAGAUUGGCAUAGAUUUCAGUAUUUACCCCUGUGGAAGUGUUUCCAGCAGGAGAACCAGUUAGAGCAAAAGCUGUGAGCUUUCUGAACCCUGAAUUGGAGUUCCACGGGAAGUUGUUCGCAAUUAUUUUUAGCACCUCCCUUCACUGCCUCUCUGCUAUGUUCCUUUCCAGAAUCACCUACUCCUUCCCCUCCUUUUCCUUUAUGGCAGGAUAGCAUGAUUACACUGGGGUCAGACAGGCUGGAUCGAGGCCCUGCCACUUGAUUAUUGUUUGACUUUUGCCAGGUUACUCCCUGAGGCUCAGUUUCCUCAUCUGUAAAAUGGAGAUAAUUGUAGAAUCUAUUUCUAGAAAGCCGUUAUAAAAAUUAAAGGAGCU